rnacentral:rRNA from 1 species
AUGCGUUUUCUCCCGCAAAUUAGAGACAGUGAGGGGAGGUUUACGGAAGUCCGGACAACAGACACCCCCGGCCCACCCAUUCCCCCUUCCGGUCUCAUUACCUUCCACUCACUCCUUCUCCCCCUUACUUUGCAUCCGCAUCCUCCACCUCCGCCUCCGCCGCCGCCGUUGUACAUCUCCUCCCGCCACAGAGGCAUUGCCGGGCGUCCGCAACCAGCACCGACGCGCUCGCUCGCCAUUACAACGGAGUUGUCCACCCUCGAGCUGUUCGUAUCCAGGUACACUCUGCCCGGACACCACACCCGUAGGUGUUUGGUCAAAUGUCAUUGA